CCCUUAGAUGUUCGGGGCCGCACGCGCGCUACACUGAAGGAAUCAGCACGUCUUUCUCCUUGUCCGAAAGGACUGGGUAACCCGCUGAACCUCCUUCGUGCUAGGGAUUGGGGCUUGUAAUUCUUCCCCAUGAACGAGGAAUUCCCAGUAAGCGCGAGUCAUAAGCUCGCGUUGAUUACGUCCCUGCCCUUCGUACACACCGCCCGUCGCUACUACCGAUUGGAUGGUUUAGUGAGAUCCUCGGAUUGGUCCCGGAGCGGCCUCUGGUCGUGCCGGAGUGCCGAAAAGAAUGUCGAACUUGAUCAUCUAGAGGAAGUAAAAGUCGUAACA
rnacentral:rRNA from 1 species